GACGAACGCUGGCGGCGUGCUUAACACAUGCAAGUCGAACGGAAAGGCCCUGCUUUUGUGGGGUGCUCGAGUGGCGAACGGGUGAGUAACACGUGAGUAACCUGCCCUUGACUUUGGGAUAACUUCAGGAAACUGGGGCUAAUACCUGAUAGGAGCUCCUGCUGCAUGGUGGGGGUUGGAAAGUUUCGGCGGUUGGGGAUGGACUCGCGGCUUAUCAGCUUGUUGGUGGGGUAGUGGCUUACCAAGGCUUUGACGGGUAGCCGGCCUGAGAGGGUGACCGGCCACAUUGGGACUGAGAUACGGCCCAGACCCCUACGGGAGGCAGCAGUGGGGAAUAUUGCACAAUGGGCGGAAGCCUGAUGCAGCAACGCCGCGUGCGGGAUGACGGCCUUCGGGUUGUAAACCGCUUUCGCCUGUGACGAAGCGUGAGUGACGGUAAUGGGUAAAGAAGCACCGGCUAACUACGUG
rnacentral:rRNA from 1 species